GGCUCGGUAGCUCAGUUGGUAGAGCAACGGAUUGAAGCUCCGUGUGUCGGCGGUUCGAUUUCGUCCCGCGCCC
rnacentral:tRNA from 1 species